rnacentral:rRNA from 1 species
UGGUGCUUGCGCCUGAUUGACGAUGGAUCACCAGUGAGUGGCGGACGGGUGAGUAACACGUAGGUAACCUGCCCCGGAGCGGGGGAUAACAUUUGAAAACAAAUGCUAAUACCGCAUAACAACAAAAGCCACAUGGCUUUUGUUUGAAAGAUGGCUUUGGCUAUCACUCUGGGAUGGACCUGCGGUGCAUUAGCUAGUUGGUAAGGUAACGGCUUACCAAGGCGAUGAUGCAUAGCCGAGUUGAGAGACUGAUCGGCCACAAUGGAACUGAGACACGGUCCAUACUCCUACGGGAGGCAGCAGUAGGGAAUCUUCCACAAUGGGCGCAAGCCUGAUGGAGCAACACCGCGUGAGUGAAGAAGGGUUUCGGCUCGUAAAGCUCUGUUGUUGGAGAAGAACGUGCGUGAGAGUAACUGUUCACGCAGUGACGGUAUCCAACCAGAAAGUCACGGCUAACUACGUGCCAGCAGCCGCGGUAAUACGUAGGUGGCAAGCGUUAUCCGGAUUUAUUGGGCGUAAAGCGAGCGCAGGCGGUUGCUUAGGUCUGAUGUGAAAGCCUUCGGCUUAACCGAAGAAGUGCAUCGGAAACCGGGCGACUUGAGUGCAGAAGAGGACAGUGGAACUCCAUGUGUAGCGGUGGAAUGCGUAGAUAUAUGGAAGAACACCAGUGGCGAAGGCGGCUGUCUGGUCUGCAACUGACGCUGAGGCUCGAAAGCAUGGGUAGCGAACAGGAUUAGAUACCCUGGUAGUCCAUGCCGUAAACGAUGAGUGCUAGGUGUUGGAGGGUUUCCGCCCUUCA